rnacentral:rRNA from 1 species
UACGAGGGGGGCGAGCGUUGUUCGGAAUUAUUGGGCGUAAAGGGCGCGUAGGCGGCCUUCUAAGUCGAACGUGAAAUCCCCGGGCUCAACCCGGGAACUGCGUCCGAUACUGGAAGGCUUGAAUCCGGGAGAGGGAUGCGGAAUUCCAGGUGUAGCGGUGAAAUGCGUAGAUAUCUGGAGGAACACCGGUGGCGAAGGCGGCAUCCUGGACCGGCAUUGACGCUGAGGCGCGAAAGCCAGGGGAGCAAACGGG